rnacentral:rRNA from 1 species
AACGAACGCUGGCGGCAUGCCUAACACAUGCAAGUCGAACGAGAUCUUCGGGUCUAGUGGCGCACGGGUGCGUAACGCGUGGGAAUCUGCCCUUUGGUUCGGAAUAACAGUUGGAAACGACUGCUAAUACCGGAAGAUGACGAAAGUCCAAAGAUUUAUCGCCAGAGGAUGAGCCCGCGUAGGAUUAGCUAGUUGGUGUGGUAAAGGCGCACCAAGGCGACGAUCCUUAGCUGGUCUGAGAGGAUGAGCAGCCACACUGGGACUGAGACACGGCCCAGACUCCUACGGGAGGCAGCAGUGGGGAAUAUUGGACAAUGGGCGAAAGCCUGAUCCAGCAAUGCCGCGUGAGUGAUGAAGGCCUUAGGGUUGUAAAGCUCUUUUACCCGGGAUGAUAAUGACAGUACCGGGAGAAUAAGCUCCGGCUAACUCCGUGCCAGCCGCCGCGGUAAUAC